AUGGCGGAAAAGGGUGUUCCAUUGCCAAAAUUUGGAGAAUGGGACGUGAAUGAUCCAGCAUCAGCUGAAGGAUAUACUGUGAUAUUCAACAAAGCUAGGAAUGAGAAGAAGAGUGGUAUUAAGAUUGAUUCACCAUCGAAGGAUUAUCGUAAAACCAAAUACAAACAUCAAGUUGUUCUUGGCAAACCUCAAUCUAAAAAAUGGUUUUGCUGUGUAAGUCCAUCCGGUGGAGAAUCAUAA